rnacentral:rRNA from 1 species
UGGGCUUGACAUCCCACGAACCUGAAAGGGGGACGAGCCCGUAGCAAUACGGGCAGCCUACACAGGUGCUGCAUGGCUGUCGUCAGCUCGUGUCGUGAGAUGUUGGGUUAAGUCCCGCAACGAGCGCAACCCUUAUCUUUAGUUGCCACCAGGUUAUGCUGAGCACUCUAAAGAAACCGCCCCAUAUAAUGGGGAGGAAGGUGGGGAUGACGUCAAGUCCUCAUGGCCUUUAUGCCCUGGGCUACACACGUGCUACAAUGGCCGGUACAACGAGCUGCAAACUCGCGAGAGGGAGCCAAUCUCUGAAAGCCGGCCCCAGUUCAGAUUGCAGGCUGCAACUCGCCUGCAUGAAGUCGGAAUCGCUAGUUAUCGCGGAUCAGCUACGCCGCGGUGAAUACGUUCCCGGGCCUUGUACACACCGCCCGUCACACCACGAAAGCCUGCUGUACUCGAAGUCGCUGAGAAUCUC